rnacentral:lncRNA from 1 species
CCUUGGGCAGGUAUGUUACCCAGCCUGUCUUCCCAUGUUUGGAGGGCAUGGUUGAGGUUGAAAUCUAUCAGGAGGGUCCAUGGUUCCUAUUUCCUUCCCAGGAGUGAGGGCUGGAUCCUGCCUACCCCAGACAACAUCCCCACAGACCUGAAGAGCAGCAUCCAGAUUCCAGGGCAGAGGGAGAUGCUGCUAACAUUCUCAGGUGAUCCCCACCUGCAUGGUGCAGGAUCCACCUUAUCAGCACCCUUAGCAACAACCAAUCACUGACUGCUGGUGUAAUCCCAAGACUCCCAAAUUGUCAACAGUGAAAUUCCUGAAGACCAUCUGCAGUCUUAAGACCCCAAAUUAUCAGCAAUCUUGUCAACAGUGAAAUUCCUGAAGGCCACCCACAGCCUUGAGACCCCAAAUUAUCAGCAAUACUGUCAACAGUGAAUUCCUGGCCAUAAACCCAUAGCCUUGAAACUUAACACCUGCAUUUGCUGAAGACUUCUUGCUGAAGACUUCUUCAGCCACAGAGUGUCCGCUGGAUGACCUAAAGCCGAAAAUGAAGGAGCUCGGUGUAUAAUGAGAGGCUAAUGAAGACAACAACAAAAGGAGGCGGAGAGGCACGUGAUAUGCCAAUCCAACAGACAAACAAAUGGGACUUGAGGGGAGGGGUCGGACUAGAGGGAGGGACUUGGUGCUGCGUCACCCAGGGAAGGGGGACCAGCGGGAAAUAUAAGGAUGGAUGCAUUCUCAGGUCUUUGUCUUUGUCUAACAAACAGUCACUGACCUUUUGUUGCAACAAAAUGAAUAAAAGGCUGGCCUAACCCGAUUGGUUAUUUGGGAUGUUUUCCAACACUAGGAAGAAGGGACACCUGGUUAGUUGUCAUUUGUAUGUGAACCCUGCUUUGACCAGGAUGUCUGUCCUGCCUGCUUCCACCAGACAGGGCUUUACAUAGCCUAAGGAGUCCAUACUAUCUGCUGCUUCCAGGUGAGGUUUUAAGUAGAAAUAAACUAAAUGAGCUCGGCCUAAAGGUCAUAUUGUAAUGAAUUCUCUUUUGGCAGGUAAACUGGGGAUAUGAUUCCAGUUCUAGCUCAGUACCUUUAAUGCAUUAUAUUUGGCCUGUAGUAUGUGUGUUGGCAGGGGAGUGCCUCAGAGCAGUCCAGUUAGGCUUACACUGUUGUUCAUGCUUUGUGUAAAGGCCAGGAGUGGAAUGAAUGUAGGCGUUGGCUUACUACAAGGACAUUGUAUUUGAGAGGGAAAAUAUGGGGUUAGCCAGGGGAAUGAGGG